UGUUAAAAAAUUCAUCCAUUUCUAUUAUUAAAAACCAGUUCAUGUACAUCAGCAUAAGCUACAUGUGACAUGCCAUGUGUCACUAUGUCUAGUUAUUUUGUUAACCAUGCCAAUUUUUAUCAGUACAAAGGGAUGGAUUUUUUAAUA
rnacentral:pre_miRNA from 1 species